rnacentral:rRNA from 1 species
AGAAUGAACGUUGGCGGCGUGGAUUAGGCAUGCAAGUCGAUCGGGGCCUUCGGGUACCCGAGGCGAAAGGGUGAGUAAGGCGACGGCAACCAACCCCGAGGAUGGCCAUAACCGCGGGAAACCGCGGCUAAUAGCCAGCGACGUCGGGCCGGCGGCAUCGCCGGCCGACCAAAAGGUGUGAUCCCGCCUCGGGACGGGCCGUCGUGGUAUCAGCUCGUUGGCGGGGUAACGGCCCACCAAGGCUGCGACGCCUACCGGGCGUGCGAGCGUGGCCCGGCACACUGGGACUGAGACACUGCCCAGACACCUACGGGUGGCUGCAGUCGAGAAUCUUCGGCAAUGGGCGCAAGCCCGACCGAGCGACGCCGCGUGGAGGACGAAGGCCUUCGGGUUGUAAACUCCUGUCGAGGGGGACAAGGCCGCGUGAAGAGCGUGGCUUGAGUGAUCCCUGGAGGAAGCACGGGCUAAGUUCGUGCCAGCAGCCGC